GAGCGCCGUGUGCGACGAAAGCCGCACGCACGGUGCGACGUGGGGGAAAAUCCGUCCUGACUACCAUAUCGGGAGAUAUGGCAAAAGCGGCGGAUUACCUAUCACAAU
rnacentral:ncRNA from 1 species